UGAGUCGGACAGACGGCCGCGCGAGGGGUGACUCUCGUGAGGAAAGUCGGGGCUCCACAGGGCAGGAUGCCUGCUAACAGCAGGGCGCGGUGACGCGACGGAAAGUGCCACAGAAAAGAAAACCCCCACCGCUGGCGGUGAGGAAAGCUGAAACGGUGUGGUAAGAGCGCACCAGCGUCGCGGAGACGCGACGGCUUGGCAAACCCCAUCCGGAGCAAGAGUACAUAGGGAUCCGAUCGGUCGGCCCGACCGGAGAUCCGGGUAGCUCGCUAGAGGGUGGCGGCGACGUCACUCCCAGAGAGAUGGUCGUCCUCGACAGAACCCCGCUUAUCGUCCGACUCACACC
rnacentral:RNase_P_RNA from 1 species